GCAUACGGAGGCUCCCAGGCCAGGGGAGUUCAAUCAGAGCUGCAGCUACUGGCCUACACCACAGCAACACUGGAUCCAAGCCUCAUCUGGGACCUACACAGCAAUGCCAGAUCCUUAACCCAUGAGUGAGGCCAGGGUUCUCAUGGAUACUAGUCGGGUAAAUCACUGAACCACAACAGGAACUCCUUGUUCAUCUUUUAUUAUAUGGGCACUCAGUCGAGAACUCAGAAGGGUAGAGGGAUAAUUAUUGCUGCUCCCUCAUACAUUCUAGUGCAUAUCAAUACAUGUGUCGAAACACAUGCAUAAAAACCUGAGUCAGGCUGACCUAGGUCCUCAGUCAUCUGGUACCUACCAUAACAAUGAGUGUACCCACUUAUCAGUGAUAUAUGAGAGAUACGUUAUGAUACUGUCCAUUCUCUCAAAGCCUAAGGACAUCUGCUCCAAAAUUGUGAAGAAAGGAAAAUUUGAAAACAAAUUAACCAGAUACACACUUAAGUCAAACCAUGCAAAAAAAAAAAAAAAAAAAAAAAAAAAAAAACAAACCACCAUGGAAACUAACAGUAAAGAUAAUGCUCUGUGGCUGGUCAUAUAGUUGAUGAAAGUAUCAAUCCAUUCUGUUUCUAAGCUCUUGUUUUAUAAGAGUUAAUCAUAUAACUUGGCUACAGCAACACCAGCAAUGGCAGAUGUGCUGUCCAACUGACCAGGUUAAGAAAAAUAAAGGCAGAUGGUUUUAGAUGAAAGUCUGGACAGCAAUGCUACCAUUAGAGAAUUGAUGUUCUGUCACCAGGCCAAGGGUCUUCUAUUCUGUUUACUUUGCUCUCUAAAUUAUUUGCCACCUGGUGGUCCAGGGAAUCAUUUAGAAGUUUAAUCAUGGGCAGUUGAUAAAAACUCUUUAAUUUGGAUUCAGUGAUUCAUUCAAGAAAAAAUGUACUGAUUGCCUAUUAUGUGUAAAACAACACCCUAGGUGCUGGAGAAUAUAACUACCAAGAUGAUAAGCAAAUAGGGUGACUUUAAAUUCUAUUAAGUGCUAUCAAAAGAAUAAAGUACAAUAAUAGGAGUAUCACUGUGCUUAGGGAAGGUCUCUUGGAAGAAGUGACAGGAGGUAAGACAGGAAAGCUGUAUUAGUUUUCUACUGCUGUGUAACAAAUUGCCACAAAUUUACUGUCACAGAGCUUCUGAGUCAGGGCUCUAAAUCCAGGUUAGCUGAGUAUUUUGCUCAGGGUCCCACAAGCUGACACCAAGGUGUUGGCAGGGGGUGCAAUCUCAUCCAAGGCUUGGAGUUCUUUUCCAGGCUCCAUCCUCAGUAGGAUUUAUUUUCUUGUGGUUGUGUGACUGCUGUUCCUGUUUUCUCACUCACUGUUGUCUGGGGACCACUCUCAGCACCUAGACACCACCCUCUUGCUAUGCUAUGCAGCCCCCCUUUUCUUACAACAUGCUUUCAAUUAAGCCAACAGGAGAACAUUUCCCUGACACUCCACCUUCUUUUAAAGGCUUUCUUGAUUAAGUCAGACCCAUCUGGGAGUCUCUCUUAAUUAACUCAAAGUUAACUCAUGAACAACAUCAUCGCAGGAGUGACACAGUAACCUAGUCACUGGUGCCACUCACAUUCAAGAGGAGCAGAUUACACAGGGCAUGCACACAAGAGGGUGGGAAUCUUGGGGACCCUCUAAAAAGUCUACCACUGUAGAUUCGAACCAGCCAUCCAAAAUCAGGGGAUCACCAGAAAGUGCAAAGAAUAAACCUGUUAUUUUCCAGAGAGGGAAAAGAAGGUUGCUCUACUGAGGCAUCAUGGAUGAAGCAAAGGGGAGAAGGAAGUAAGAAAAGAGGCAACCUCAGGAAUCAUUUGAAUUAAAACAUAGGCUACUGGUGGCCCUGUUCAGCUUGCAUUUCAUUUUAAGUGCAAAUAGGAGCUGAACUAAUGUUAAUUGAGCCCCACUCACAUCCCUAGCAUGAUAUUAGACUCAUCAAUGCCAUAAAGAAUAACGGAGUCAAUCCAGAGAAAUGGGAAGCAUUUACUUGUUGUGGCUACUGUCAUUUUGAGAAAGUAGGGCCUGUGCUAAAGGUUCUUUUACAUGUCUAAAACUCAUUUAUUUUUCUAGGUCCCAUUAAAAAGACUAUUCAGGUGAAAGUAAAAAUAAUACGAAUGUAAUCAUUUUCUAGUGUUGGUUGACCUAAUUAGAAAAGAAUCUAGUCUUCUAUUUCCUCCAUGCAUCCUCCAGUGCCCAUGAACGUACCCCUGGGUCGCUUUCAUAAAUUCUAUAAAUAAUAAUAAUAGCAUUAAUAAAGCCAAGGCAUUUCCAGGCACAAUAUAAAAUGUGUCCUUUGGUCAGGGGGGAGUUCAUAAUUAGCGUUUUAGAAGUAUCCAGCAAUGCAGAUUUUCUAAGACAAAACUGAGGCAAAAGAUCACUGCUUAGAAAUGCCAGCUCAUCACAGCUGUGUUUUCUUUUACUUUCACGGCACUAUGUCCUAAUCAACUCAGGAGUCAGAGGUAUAACUGCUUUCUUAGUUUCUUCAAUUGAAGUACUAGCAGGAUUUACUCGAGGCUUCCCUUUGAGACUGAUUAGUAGAGGAAGAGAGAUUUUAAGAAAGGAUAUAACUUAGAUUCUAAAACUUGAAGAUGCAACAAAGACUGCUGGAUAACUCCCACUUCUUUUUUUUU
rnacentral:lncRNA from 1 species